rnacentral:rRNA from 1 species
UUCUGGGGGGGAAAGUUUUUCGGGGCAGGGAAAGCCCCCGGGCCCUAUCACAUUUUUGGUGGGGUAAUGGCCUACCAAGGGGCGACGGUUACCGCCUUGAAGGGCGACCCGCCCCCACUGGGAAUGAGACCCGGCCCAGACUCCUACGGGAGGCAGCAGUGGGGAAUAUUGCCCAAUGGGCGCAAGCCUGAUGCAGCGACCCCCUUGAGGGAUGACGGCCUUCGGGUUGUAAACCUCUUUCACCCAUGACGAAGCGCAAGUGACGGUAGUGGGAGAAGAAGCACCGGCCAACUACGUGCCAGCAGCCGCGGUAAUACGUAGGGUGCGAGCGUUGUCCGGAAUUACUGGGCGUAAAGAGCUCGUAGGCGGUUUGUCGCGUCGUCUGUGAAAUCCCGCAGCUCAACUGCGGGCUUGCAGGCGAUACGGGCAGACUCGAGUACUGCAGGGGAGACUGGAAUUCCUGGUGUAGCGGUGAAAUGCGCAGAUAUCAGGAGGAACACCGGUGGCGAAGGCGGGUCUCUGGGCAGUAACUGACGCUGAGGAGCGAAAGCGUGGGUAGCGAACAGGAUUAGAUACCCUGGUAGUCCACGCCGUAAACGGUGGGCGCUAGGUGUGGGUUUCCUUCCACGGGAUCCGUGCCGUAGCCAACGCAUUAAGCGCCCCGCCUGGGGAGUACGGCCGCAAGGCUAAAACUCAAAGGAAUUGACGGGGGCCCGCACAAGCGGCGGAGCAUGUGGAUUAAUUCGAUGCAACGCGAAGAACCUUACCUGGGUUUGACAUGUACCGGACGACUGCAGAGAUGUGGUUUCCCUUGUGGCCGGUAGACAGGUGGUGCAUGGCUGUCGUCAGCUCGUGUCGUGAGAUGUUGGGUUAAGUCCCGCAACGAGCGCAACCCUUGUCCUGUGUUGCCAGCACGUGAUGGUGGGGACUCGCAGGAGACUGCCGGGGUCAACUCGGAGGAAGGUGGGGACGACGUCAAGUCAUCAUGCCCCUUAUGUCCAGGGCUUCACACAUGCUACAAUGGUCGGUACAGAGGGCUGCGAUACCGUGAGGUGGAGCGAAUCCCUUAAAGCCGGUCUCAGUUCGGAUCGGGGUCUGCAACUCGACCCCGUGAAGUCGGAGUCGCUAGUAAUCGCAGAUCAGCAACGCUGCGGUGAAUACGUUCCCGGGCCUUGUACACACCGCCCGUCACGUCAUGAAAGUCGGUAACACCCGAAGCCGGUGGCCUAACCCCUUGUGGGAGGGAGCCGUCGAAGUGAU